rnacentral:lncRNA from 10 species
CAAGCUCUUCUGCAUUUUGAUGCUCCCACCCAGAGAACUGUAUGUUGGGAAGUUUGUGCAUCAACGAAAGGUUUGUUGUAUGUGGUGGUCCCAAACGAACAGAAUGUAUUGCCAAAUGGAGAUUCCUUUGGGGACAAAAUGAUGAAAACCUAUACCACCAAAGCAGACUGGAGUACAUCUAGACAGGAUGUCACUAAGAAAUGGAACCUGGAAGACUUCUUUUUGAAUGCAUGAUUUCUGUUUCAAAAGACACAAGGAUAUGGGGCAGUGGUUUCUUGUGACUUAAGCUCAUCAGCAGAGGCUCUGAGUGGAGCUAGUGGAUUUGGC